rnacentral:rRNA from 1 species
UACGUAGGGGGCUAGCGUUAUCCGGAAUUACUGGGCGUAAAGGGUGCGUAGGUGGUUUCUUAAGUCAGAGGUGAAAGGCUACGGCUCAACCGUAGUAAGCCUUUGAAACUGGGAAACUUGAGUGCAGGAGAGGAGAGUGGAAUUCCUAGUGUAGCGGUGAAAUGCGUAGAUAUUAGGAGGAACACCAGCUGCGAAGGCGGCUCUCUGGACUGUAACUGACACUGAGGCACGAAAGCGUGGGGAGCAAACAGGAUUAGAUACCCUGGUAGUCCCUGA